AGCGAACGCUGGCGGCAGGCCUAACACAUGCAAGUCGAACGAAGUCUUCGGACUUAGUGGCGGACGGGUGAGUAACACGUGGGAACGUGCCUUUAGGUUCGGAAUAACUCAGGGAAACUUGUGCUAAUACCGAAUGUGCCCUUCGGGGGAAAGAUUUAUCGCCUUUAGAGCGGCCCGCGUCUGAUUAGCUAGUUGGUGAGGUAAAGGCUCACCAAGGCGACGAUCAGUAGCUGGUCUGAGAGGAUGAUCAGCCACAUUGGGACUGAGACACGGCCCAAACUCCUACGGGAGGCAGCAGUGGGGAAUCUUGCGCAAUGGGCGAAAGCCUGACGCAGCCAUGCCGCGUGAAUGAUGAAGGUCUUAGGAUUGUAAAAUUCUUUCACCGGGGACGAUAAUGACGGUACCCGGAGAAGAAGCCCCGGCUAACUUCGUGCCAGCCGCCGCUUAAGAC
rnacentral:rRNA from 1 species